GUGCCCAAUGAUUAAGGAAUGACGCGUUAUUGCGAGGGCUAAUCUGGCAAGCCAUUUGACCCACUUGACAUCUCAUGCCAAUCUUUGCCCCCUCACUUCCUUUUUGCUUUCCUUUUCCCCUCUCCAACUGUCACCGAUAGCUGGCCAGUGUUCUGUGAGCGUGAUUAAGAAAUGAGGACAG